CCUACGGGAGGCAGCAGUGAGGAAUAUUGGUCAAUGGGCGUAAGCCUGAACCAGCCAAGUCGCGUGAGGGAUGAAGGUUCUAUGGAUCGUAAACCUCUUUUAUAAGGGAAUAAAGUGUGGGACGUGUCCCGUUUUGUAUGUACCUUAUGAAAAAGGAUCGGCUAACUCCGUGCCAGCAGCCGCGGUAAUACGGAGGAUGCGAGCGUUAUCCGGAUUUAUUGGGUUUAAAGGGUGCGUAGGCGGCCUUUUAAGUCAGCGGUGAAAGUCUGUGGCUCAACCAUAGAAUUGCCGUUGAAACUGGCAGUCUUGAGUAUGUUUGAGGUAGGCGGAAUGCGUGGUGUAGCGGUGAAAUGCAUAGAUAUCGCGCAGAACCCCGAUUGCGAAGGCAGCCUGCC
rnacentral:rRNA from 1 species